UACAGAGGCUGCGAGCGUUAUUCGGAUUCACUGGGCGUAAAGGGUGCGCAGGUGGCUAGGUGUGUUAGGCGUGAAAGCCCGGGGCUUAACCCCGGAAUUGCACCUAAAACUACUUGGCUAGAGCAUUGGAGAGGGGAGCAGAAUUCAUGGUGUAGCAGUGAAAUGCGUAGAUAUCAGGAGGAAUACCAGAGGCGAAGGCGGCUCCCUGGACAAUUGCUGACACUCAGGCACGAAAGCGUGGGGAGCAAAAGGG
rnacentral:rRNA from 1 species